rfam:Anaerolineaceae bacterium 4572_32.1 ex4572_32.1_scaffold_10752, whole genome shotgun sequence.
AUGAGCGAUAGCAAAUUGCCGGAUGCCCAGGCGGGCUACGAAAAGAUGGCCACCCUGCUGCUGGCGGCCAUGGGCGGCUGCAAUUACAUCCAUCACGCCA